AACCUACAAGCCAUUUCUUCAUGACUCAUGGCUUGCUGAGAUGAUUGGACUGGUGGGGUGGGGGGGAGGGGGAGAAUAUCUUACAGUUUCCAUUGUUUGGCAAUAUUAAUAUAAGUUGCCAGGAUAAUAUGCAAUAUCAAAAUAUAUCCUUUGAUAUAUGAUGGGAAAAUGUCUAAUAAGUAGCAGCUUGGAGUCAAUGGUAGACAGAUAUCUGUAACUUGUCAGUAAAGAGAAUGAACGUGAGACCAGUACAAUGAUAACAGAGGGCGUGAAGCAUUGGGCUCAGCCAUUUUUGGCACCUCCAUCACGCAUUUGAAUGGUUUGAG